GGAGUAAAAGUCGUAACAAGGUUUCCGUAGGUGAACCUGCGGAAGGAUCAUUACUGAGUGAGGGCCCCUCGGGGUCCAACCUCCCACCCGUGUUUAACGAACCUUGUUGCUUCGGCGGGCCCGCCUCACGGCCGCCGGGGGGCAUCUGCCCCCGGGCCCGCGCCCGCCGAAGCCACCUGUGAACGCUGUCUGAAGUAUGCAGUCUGAGACAAUUAUUAAAUUAAUUAAAACUUUCAACAACGGAUCUCUUGGUUCCG
rnacentral:misc_RNA from 1 species